rnacentral:rRNA from 1 species
ACCGGAGCUCAUGGGAGACCAUGAAAGGCGUUGGUUGCUUAAGACAGCAGGACGGUGGCCAUGGAAGUCGGAAGCCGCUAAGGAGUGUGUAACAACUCACCUGCCGAAGCAACUAGCCCUGAAAAUGGAUGGCGCUAAAGCUCCGUGCCUAUACCCGGCCGCCGGAAGGCAUAGGCGUGAGCCGCUCUUCUGGGGCGGCGAGCGCGCGAAGCCCCGGCGAGUAGGAGGGCGCGGCGGUGUGCGCGGAAGGGUCUGGGCGUGAGCCUGCCUGGAGCCGCCGCCGGUGCAGAUCUUGGUGGUAGUAGCAAAUACUCAAGCGAGGGCCUUGAGGGCUGAUGUGGAGAAGGGUUUCGUGUGAACAGCCGUUGCACACGAGUCAGUCGAUCCUAAGCCCUAGGAGAAAUCCGANGUC